rnacentral:lncRNA from 1 species
CCAGCUACGUUGGUCCACUUCAGUCUGGAAUUUCUACCUGGAUGUUGGGUGUUCAAGCCCAGAUGCCUGCUCCAGGCCAAUGGACAACGCCGCCCUUCGACCCGCGCUUCCCUAACCAAAACCAGACGCGUAACUGCUACCAGAAUUUUCUGGACUACCACCGGUGUGUGAAGACCAUGGAUCGCCGCGGAAAGAACACACAGGCCUGCGACUACUAUUUCCGUGUGCAGCGCUGGAAUGAGCAGAUCAAGCAGGGAACUUUCCCAGGCAAAAUCUGACCUUGCACUUGAGCGCUGCUCCUUGGUGGCAUCAACCCCCAGUGACCGCUGUCCUUGCCCCAGCCUGGGUUGCCCCCCUCCUCCACUUUGUCCUUAUGCCACAAAUAAAGCUAUGGUGCUGCUAAUAUUUAUUU